rnacentral:rRNA from 1 species
CCUACGGGGGGCAGCAGUGAGGAAUAUUGGUCAAUGGGCUUACGCCUGAACCAGCCAAGUCGCGUGAGGGAAGACUGCCCUAUGGGUUGUAAACCUCUUUUGUCAGGGAGCAACGCCGGCUACGUGUAGCCGGACUGAGAGUACCUGAAGAAAAAGCAUCGGCUAACUCCGUGCCAGCAGCCGCGGUAAUACGGAGGAUGCGAGCGUUAUCCGGGUUUAUUGGGUUUAAAGGGUGCGUAGGCGGAAUGCCAAGUCAGCGGUAAAAUCGCGGGGCUCAACCUCGCUCCGCCGUUGAAACUGGCGUGCUUGAGUGGGCGGGAAGGAUGCGGAAUGCGUGGUGUAGCGGUGAAAUGCAUAGAUAUGACGAAGAACCCCGAUUGCGAAGGCAGCAUACCGGCGCGCAACUGACGCUGAAGCACGAAAGCGUGGGUAUCGAACAGGAUUAGAUACCCCGGUAGUC